UGCGAGUGUGAGCGAAUCUCAAAAAUAAACGUCUCAGUUCGGAUUGUAGUCUGCAACUCGACUACAUGAAGCUGGAAUCGCUAGUAAUCGCGGAUCAGAAUGCCGCGGUGAAUACGUUCCCGGGUCUUGUACACACCGCCCGUCACACCAUGGGAGUCAGUAACGCCCGAAGCCGGUGACCCAACCUAAACAGGAGGGAGCCGUCGAAGGCGGGACGGAUGACUGGGGUGAAGUCGUAACAAGGUAGC
rnacentral:rRNA from 1 species